rnacentral:rRNA from 1 species
UGACGCUGGCGGCAUGCCUUACGCUUACAAGUCGAACGGUAGCAGCUCUUCGCUAUGCUGACGAGUGGCGAACGGGUGCAGUUAAUACCAUCUGGAACGUGCCCGAUGAGUGGGGGAUAACGAAGCGAAAGCUUUGCUAAUACCCGCAUACGAUCUCCAGGCAUGAAAGCAGGGAGCACCCGCAAGUGCCUUUGCGCUCCCUGGAGCUGGCCGAUGGCCAGAUUAGGUAGAUUAGGUGGGAUAAAAGCUUAACCAAGCCUGACGAUCUGUAGGCUGGAUCUGAGAGGACGACCCAGCCACACAUGGGACUAGAGACACUGCGCGCCAGGAGACUCCUACUGGAGAGAGCUAGCAGCUGCGAGGACAUUCUUUAGGACACAUUGGGCGCAAGCCUGAUCCAGACAUGUACCAGCAGGUGCACGAGCAUAGACAGGGCACAUUCGCCGGUUGUAAAAGCUGCAUUAUACAGUGCAGGAACUGGAAAAGACGUCUGGUUAAUACCUUGGAGGUCCAUGCACGGUACACGUCAAGGAAUAAGCACCCGGGCAUAACUACAGAUGCCCAAGCAAGCCGACGGUUCAAUACGUAGGAGGGGCGAGCAGUUAAUCCGAGAACUUACACUGGGCGUAAAGCAGUGCAGGCAGAGCGG